rnacentral:rRNA from 1 species
AGGUUAAUGAGGCGAACCGGGGGAACUGAAACAUCUAAGUACCCCGAGGAAAAGAAAUCAACCGAGAUUCCCCCAGUAGCGGCGAGCGAACGGGGAGGAGCCCAGAGCCUGAAUCAGCAUGUGUGUUAGUGGAAGCGUCUGGAAAGGCGCGCGAUACAGGGUGACAGCCCCGUACACAAAAGCGCAUGUGCUGUGAGCUCGAUGAGUAGGGCGGGACACGUGGUAUCCUGUCUGAAUAUGGGGGGACCAUCCUCCAAGGCUAAAUACUCCUGACUGACCGAUAGUGAACCAGUACCGUGAGGGAAAGGCGAAAAGAACCCCGGCGAGGGGAGUGAAAAAGAACCUGAAACCGUGUACGUAC